rnacentral:misc_RNA from 1 species
GAUGAAGAACGCAGCAAAAUGCGAUAAGUAAUGUGAAUUGCAGAAUUCAGUGAAUCAUCGAAUCUUUGAACGCACAUUGCGCCCGCCAGUACUCUGGCGGGCAUGCCUGUCCGAGCGUCAUUUCAACCCUCAGGGCCCUCCAGCAGGGCGCUGGUGUUGGGGAUCGGCAGUCCCAGCGGCUGCCGUCCCUGAAAUGUAGUGGCGGUCCCACCGUGACCUCCCCUGUGCAGUACAUCGCUCGCAGAGGGACAGCGGUGCGGCCACGCCGUAAAACGCCCAACUCUUCAAGGUUGACCUCGGAUCAGGUAGGAUUACCCGCUGAACUUAAGCAUAUCAAUAAGCGGAGGA